UUCAGCUUGUCAUUUUGUUAUCACAGACACGGCUUUGCUGAAGACUUUUUAAAAGACUUUCUCUAUGGUGGCCAUUAGUAGCUAAAUAGUUAUGACACAGUAACCACCUCAUACCGUGAAGAGGUCAGAAGUCUAAUGGCGGAGGUGGACAUCACAAUCAGACACACCAUCUGUGAUCCUUGUUCUUUCAAGACUGUUGGAGGUUGUUACCCCAGCUUGAUGAGAGAAGGGGCGAUGAUGAGGGUAAUUAGGAAUAUGCACAAAUUCAGCACAGGUCCCAUAUAUCUGUUGAGUUCAAGAGCACCCUUUGUCAAGGGAUGACAACUGCAUGAUGUAGCUAAUGUUGGAGUUAUGGCUCUGCCAGAAUCAUACUUUGUUUGAACUUGCAGCCGGACUGCUUCUUUUCACAUUGCUCCCAGCCCUGUAUAAAACACUGCUGUCCUAAGCUGCUUAGGUGAUGCAAUGUGAUGCAGGGAGAAAGAAAAAUCAUCCCAAAGAGUUACUGUGAAUGGAUAGUUUUCAUUUUAUGGUCUCAAUAUUCUGGCCUGAGUAGUUAAUUCAAUUUUAAUAAAUAAGAAGUAGCAAUAAAAUGCUUCUGAUCUCUA